rnacentral:rRNA from 1 species
AUUGAACGCUGGCGGCAGGCCUAACACAUGCAAGUCGAGCGAGCGGCGGAAGGGUGAGUAAUGUAUGGGGAUCUGCCCGAUAGAGGGGGAUAACUACGGGAAACGGUGGCUAAUACCGCAUACGAUCGGAUGAACCCAGCUGGGAUUAGCUAGUAGGUGGGGUAAAGGCUCACCUAGGCGACGCUCUCUAGAUGGGCUGCGAGGAUGAUCGGCCACACUGGGACUGAGACACGGCCCAGACUCCUACGUGAGGCAGCAGUGGGGAAUAUUGCGCAAUGGGCGAAAGCCUGAUGCAGCCAUGCCGCGUGUAUGAAGAAGGCCUUCGGGUUGUAAAGUACUUUCAGCGGGGAGGCGUUACCCGCAGAAGAAGCCACGGCUAACUCCGUGCCAGCAGCCGCGGUAAUAC